rnacentral:rRNA from 1 species
UACGUAGGGUGCGAGCGUUAAUCGGAAUUACUGGGCGUAAAGCGUGCGUAGGUGGUUUGUUAAGUCUGAUGUGAAAGCCCUGGGCUCAACCUGGGAAUUGCAUUGGAUACUGGAAGGCUAGAGUGUGUCAGAGGGGGGUAGAAUUCCACGUGUAGCAGUGAAAUGCGUAGAGAUGUGGAGGAAUACCGAUGGCGAAGGCAGCCCCCUGGGAUAACACUGACGCUCAUGCACGAAAGCGUGGGGAGCAAAUAGG